CCGAGCCCGCCCAUUGUGUGACAAUAGCGAAUUAAAAUUCCCUAUUGUUACUGAUCCUCCUCCUGGGUCCUCCCGCUUCCUGAUUGGCCGUAAGACAAACCCCACGCCAUUGGCCGAACUCAAUCUGGGCCUUCAGGGGAAAAUUACAACUGUUUUCAAGUUGUCAGACAAACGAGCUGCAUUUAAAGCCAAACUGGAGUUGUGGGGACGGCGCGUGAACAGAGGCAUUUUGGACAUGUUUCAGACAUUAGCGGGAUUUUAGGCGAGACUGAGCUUGAACAUUCACUCUGCCGGUUGGUGCACGAUCACCUGUCUUUGCUUUUAAAAGAGUUUGAGCGCUACUUCCCAACCACAAAAAACCCACGAACUGGUAAGGAAUGGAUCCGCGACCCAUUUGCCAACAAAUCAGGCGAAUCUAGCAUGUCUAUGCAAGAAGAACUACUGCUGGAGAUUGCAAAUGACGGUGGCCUUAAAACUAUGUUCGAGACAACAACUCUGCCGGUGUUCUGGAUUAAAGUCAUGGCGGAAUACCCUGAGAUUGCCACCACAGCACUUAAAUCCCUAUUGCCAUUUCCAACAACCUAUCUGUGUGAAGCGGGGUUUUCUGCAGUGACAGCAACCAAAACAAAACAGCGGAAUAAACUGGACAUAAGCAACACACUUCGGGUGUCAUUGUCUCCUAUUACCCCCAGAUGGAACCGUCUCGUUGCGAAGAAACAAGCUCAGGGUUCUCAUUGAUUUGGCAUUCUAGUGAGUUAAAUAAAAUCACUUUAUAUUCAUAUUUUGGUGUAGCUGUAUUUUAUUUUGAAGGCAUGUUUAAAUACAAUUAAAUUAAAAUUAUUAAAUCAAAACAAGCGGGCCACGGAAAAAUGAUCAAACGUUUACUGGUCCGCGGCGAUAAAAAGGUUGGGGAGCACUGCCCUAAAACAUUGCGGCUUGAACCCUAGUUGGUGGCGGAUAUGUCACGCAAGUCAACCGGCAUUCAGAGCUAAACUACAGCAGCGUGUGGACCAUUUUAAUAUAAUACAACGGGAUAAAUGCUUUGUUUGCCAAACUGCCCCAAUAGAUGGACAACGGGGCAUGCGAGGUAAUACAAAGCCUUGUGGUCAAACGGUGAUGCCAGCUCCACCAAGGGCUUGUACCCUAAUAAACUAUAAAAUAAGUGUGAUCUCCGCCUGGGGAGAUCUAGAAAUGCCGGCAAAAAUAAAUGGACAAAAUUUGGAGUAACCGUACAUAAAUUGAGAUGGCCAGUAUGGGAAUCUAAAUAGAGGGGAAAAGGAAACAGGGUAAGGAACCAUUAAACUUAUCAGUUCAAAAAAAAAAAGGCCCUCAAUUAUCCUAAUUGGACUAAAUCCAGAAAAUAGUAAUUAAAAUAAAAAUAAAGAAUCU